AGAUAAAAAUGCAGUACUUAUUCUAAGGGUUUUUUGUUUGUUUUUUUCUUUUUAACACAUCUGUAGAAGUCUCAAGCAAAUGAAUGCAGUUUGAAUUCUUCCUGGUAAUUUUCAUCACCUCUUCUGUUCCAGUGCAAUCAGUUCAGGUGAUCUACAGGCCUUUAUUUUCCCUGCUGAAGAGGUGAAGAACAGAGAAUUUCUCAGAUGGUGCAGUGAAAUACUGUGAUUUGUUGCUAUGCGACUGCAUGCCUGUAUGAGGCCUAUAGUUUUCUUCUGAGGAAGGGGUGGCAUUGAACAUAAGCAUAGUGUUUUACAGGAUUGCAUGUACCUCCCUCAGUUGCCCACAACCCAGCCUCAGCAUCUGUAUGACACCUUAUCAUUUCUAAAGCGUUCUUUACAUUUUUAUCAGAGUGGCAUUUAGGCAAUUUCUUGAAAACWGAAGAACAAAUGUCAUUCUUCCAAAUUUAAAUCAAUAUUCAGGGAAGCAGAGACAGGAGCUUGCCCAAGGCUAUGCAAGUGUCCACACUAAAAAGCUUCAAAUGCAACUAAGCAAUGCAUCUAUAUUAGCUUUACUGAUGAGGGCAUGCAAGUGUUGAGCUUGACUGCACUGUCAUAUCCCUUAACUGCAUAUAUACCUAGCACUCCUCACCUGAACAGAACAGGGCAAACCAAUACAUGAUAAAUUUCCUUAAGCUUCUCUGAUUUUCUUAGGUACAGCGUGCUGUGUGAAUCACAUGGAAUUCACUUAACCCCAUAAAAUCUUUUUUGGCAUACAAUUUCCCAUUAUCAUCACAUUCCAGGGUAAAUUUUUGUAGUUCCUAAAAGGCUUAUUGCUGUUAUGUCACACACUGGGAAUUAAUUUGUCAUACUAUCCCCAAGCACCUUGUAAAAAUGUAGUUACUUAACUCAAAAACUUCACUGUGAUUUGAAAGGAUACUAGGUGGGAGAUUAAUUUUUCUGUAACAAGUGAAUGGAAAAUAAUUGAAGGAAAAAAGAUUGCUACAGAUGCCAAGAUAACAGAAAUAUUAAGAUUUUUACUGCAAAUAUGAUAAUUCCUUUAAACUGAUGAUGGCAAAAAAAAUACAGAACUGUCAUAGAUGAAACUGCUUCCUGAUCUACCCAAGUUUAAUCUGUUCUGGUGUCUUMAGGCUGAGAAAGAUGCUAACUGCUUGCUGUAGAACAGGUUUGUCUYCUUAACUGCAUGUAGUGUAUUACUAAUUUCACAGGUGAAAACAACUUGGCCAGCAUAAACUGCAUUGACCAUAGCAACGCUUUGCUGACACAAUGUACAAAUACUGCUAAAUACAAAAGCCAACCUGGCUUAAAGCUAACUUAAUAUAAACAAACAUUAAAUAAACAAAAGUAUAUUAAUUUUUGAUGCUGGUAU
rnacentral:lncRNA from 1 species